GGUGAGGUGGUCGAGAGGCUGAAGGCGCUCCCCUGCUAAGGGAGUAUGCGGUCAAAAGCUGCAUCCGGGGUUCGAAUCCCCGCCUCACCGCCA
rnacentral:tRNA from 2 species